rnacentral:rRNA from 1 species
GACGAACGCUGGCGGCGUGCUUAACACAUGCAAGUCGAACGGAAAGGCCCUGCUUUUGUGGGGUGCUCGAGUGGCGAGCGGGUGAGUAACACGUGAGUAACCUGCCCUUGACUUUGGGAUAACUUCAGGAAACUGGGGCUAAUACCGGAUAGGAGCUCCUGCUGCAUGGUGGGGGUUGGAAAGUUUCGGCGGUUGGGGAUGGACUCGCGGCUUAUCAGCUUGUUGGUGGGGUAGUGGCUUACCAAGGCUUUGACGGGUAGCCGGCCUGAGAGGGUGACCGGCCCCAUGGGACUAGGGGACGGACCAGGACUCUACCGGGAGCAACGGGGGGGAAUUUUACACAAUGGGGCGGAGGCUGAUGGCAGCACCGCCGGGUCGGGAAUACCGGCUUUGGGGUGGAAAACAGUUUCGCCUGUGACGAAGCGUGAGUGACGGUAAUGGGUAAAGAAGCACCAGCUAACUACGUG